CACUUCCGUUCCGGUUGCCGGCAGCUUGUGAGGAGUGUCUGUUGGGCGUCCUGUGGUGUGUGGGCCAUGGAGAGCUCGGGGCCCAGUGAAGUGACGGGCGCAGACGCGUCGGGACCGGACCCGCAGCUGGCGGUCACCAUGGGCUUUACGGGGUUCGG